AGACAUGUCGGGGGUCCGGGUGGUGUCGCGGCUCCUGGGCGCCCGGCGCCUGGCACUGACUAGGGCGGUGAGUCGGCGCCGUGGGGCGGGCAGGGCGCGGGGAGCCGAGGAGGGGCAGGACUUCCCACGGGGCGGAGCGGACGCCGAGUCCCCCCGGCGCCGGACCGGGACGGGGUCGCGAGGGUCUGGGGGAGGAUGCGGUGAGGAGGCCGCCCGAAGGGGUGGGGCCGACCCGGAGGGCCGCGGGACUCCUUCUGAAGCCAGCGAGUCGCGUCCCGGUGAAGGUCAUGACCCCGCUUGCCGUCCCCGGGGACCCUUCCCCAGAGUACUAAGGUCGCCCCCGCCCCAGCCUUCGGCGCGUGGGGAGGCGUGUUUGCCCGAGGUCACCCUGACAGGUGGCGGCCCGUGGGUGCCCCGGGCCUCUGAAUCCAAAAGCGCCCUUAGAUCUCCGGCGGAGGCGGGCCGGCAACCGCAGGCGCGCGCCGGCCGGGCGCUGUGCCGAUCGCCCUGGGGACGGUCCGUCGGGUGCCAGCAGCCCCGAGGACCCGGCCGGGCUCGGCCCUCCCGCCCCAGGCAGGGUAGGUGGGAGGCACGUCUGACACCGGCGCUGGCGCUUGCCUGGCAACUGUUUGCAAAACCGCGCUUCUUCGGGGAAAGCGAAGACCCGUGUUUCACACCGGGAUCUGGCAACUUUUGGACCUUCAUUUUGGGUUUUGUAUGGUGGCCUUUUGCGCACAUUAGAAAACCAGGCGAAGAACGUCAGCGCUCUGACCGCAGACCACGUUCGGGCGACGGCGCCGGGAAGUCUGAUUUCCCGUGCGUUGUCUGCCCGGACUCCGGUCAGUCGUGGAUGACCGUCAGGGUUGUGCCUUCUGGAGCCCUUGCUUACCGGAUUGUGUCAGAUGUACUCCUUACAGUUACGUCUUCAGGAUCUACCUUUUCAGGUUUUAUUUCAGCACACUAAACUUGGAGGGGUUGUUGUUUGGGUUCUUUUAUAUGAUCCGCCUGCCCACCUACUUAGUAAUGUAAUUACAGAGUGAAAAUCCCAGUGGGAACCGAGGCAUUCAACAGUAUUGACAGGAGUUAUGCCUGUAGUUAUACCUGCAAUUUUCUCCAUUUUGAAAUACAGAUACUAAAAAUUAAGUUAAAUGUGAGAAGGUUAACUCCGCCAUCCUGCCAAUGCCAGAGAACGUUUUCAAUGCUUUCUCGUGCUGCUGUGGUUGAUGCUUCCUGAGCAGAGGUCCCCACUCUCCACACCCCACCCAUCUUGGGCUCUAAGUCCACAAGCUGGAUGGGCAGUGGGAUAUUCUUCGGCAAACGUGAGCAGACUUCUUAGUGCCUCCUGCUUGUUAAGUGCAGUGACCAGUAACUGGUGGUGCUGGGAGAAGAGCUAAACAUGUGUGUCCUCGGUCACCCCAGCGUUCUUGUGCAGACUAAGACCCCUCCAGUCUGUGGAACUCCCUUGACCACCUGCCUGCCCUUUGUUUAUGACCUUGUUGUCCUUUAUGUAAACUGGACUAGAAUUCUAGCUCUGAGCUCUGAGCUGCAAGUGAGAAUAAGAUUCUGAGCACCACUGGUCAGAGUGUGUAAACCUGUACUUUUGUAUUGGCUUGAUUGGAAGUUAUCUUGGUUGAAUCAACUAUUAGCUGCCAGCAUUUACCCUUCUUUUUACCUUGAUGAAGAUAGCUUUUCCUGUGGAAAUUAAUUCUGCCCCCAAGCAGUAUAUGUAGUGGAAUUUAAGAUUGGCAAAAACAAAAGCAUCAACUUAGAACAACAACAACGAAAUGUAUGAUCACCAACUGAGAAAUGUGCACGGAGAGUAGAUGAUGAGGGUAGUUUGAAUAAAAUCCACAGAGAAUUUUUCUUGAUUUCAUUUUGUUCAAUUCUCUGGUGUUUCCAAGGCAGUUUAUAUUUACAGCUGCUUUCAAGUUGCAAAAUCAUCAAACCUAUUUUGCGUUGGUUUCAUUUUUAGUUAUCUUAAUGCACUGACAUAAUUUGCAGACUGUUCUGGUGUAUUGAAAGGAAAAGUAAAAGCAAGGUCCUUAAAUAGUUGCUGGUUAAUUGCUUCAGAUGAGAUUUUUCAAAUUCUUUAACAUGGAUAUCCAAAGUACUGUUCUAGAGUAAGUCAGUUUUUCUUUGAAUGUAUUGUUUUGAAUUUGGCUUAAUGAUGUAUCUAGAAUUACAUUAUUUAGGCCAUUGUGGUAACCUUUUUUGUUUUCCUUUUUGGGGUAAUUGUACCGCUGUGGCAUUCAUUUCUGCAUUCUGUGGGAUGUUUUUCCUGGUUCACUGGAAAAAUUGUGGCUUGGUUUUGAUACGUAAUCUGGAUAUGCAUCUUAUUUUGGAGUCCCAGAGAUUUUUCCUAAGGCUCCUUACCUAGGGGGGAUGUACUGAAUCUGGUACCAGCCAGGCAGACCAGAGUUCAGACCCUGGAUAGACUCCAUUUCUCUUUCAUGAGGGUUCUGGGAGGUAGCCUGUGACGCCCUGGUGUGGUGAUCAUUCUAGCCAGGACCUACACCUACAGCCUGUGCUCGAUAAUCUUGUGAAUUGUAUUCUAAGCAUCCCUGUUUUAAAAACCUUUAAACUUCUAAUGAAAAUAAUUACACAUAGUUAUAAAAAAAAAAGUCAAGGAAUACAGAGGCUUUAUAAAUGAAAAGGAUUGAGACCCUCUCCUAACCUCAGACCUGUUCCCCAGUGAAAUCACUUCUGAAUUGUUUCUGUUAUUGGCCGCUGGUGUUUACCUCCAUGUCUCUAGCUAAUGUGCAGGCUUACGUUCAUCCAUUUUGGACUUUGACUUGUGGCUCUGAAUGAGGACUCAGUUCGCUUAAACCAUCUUCCCCCAUCCUCAGUUCUUCCCAUGGCCUUCCAAGGCACUUUCAGAGCCUUUAUGGGCUGCUUUUCUUAUUAUACAGAUUGUACUUACAAAUAGUUUCUUGUCUGCAAUUCAUAGGUGAACGCUAUCAGAUGGGGACCUGUACUUCGCUAGAUUAAGGGUUUCAAUAUCUCUGCCCUUCUCUUCAGUUUUCUCCCUUUUACCAUUUAAGUCAUUCACUUGUGCUUUCAUGUCAUUAAAAGCUCUGUUUCUUUUAAUUCUGCCUCCAAGGCAGAUUUCCUCACGCUUCUUUACGUUUCCCUGUUGGAAAAUGUUUGAUAGUUUUACUUCAAAAAAUGUUAAAUAGUUUUAUUUAUAGACAAAUUGGGUUAAUUUUGGGCUCUCCAGAUUCUAAAAUUGCUCCUCAAAUCCGAUUUGGAUAAAAAGCUAGUAUUCUAUUUUCCACAGGGAGAUAGUAUGAUAAUUUGUUAGAGAUUUCAUUUUAACAGCUGCCAGUGUUUGAGAUGGCCGUGUGUGUCUAUCUUUAUUUAACGUGAACAUCCUAGAAAGAAGAAAUAAAUACUUAGGGAAUCUCACUGUUACUAUUUUACUUUUUUACAGUUCAACUUAAGCAGGUAAGUUUAAUGAUCAGAACAAAAAUGGGAUCGCUUAGGAAAAACUAUAUAAAAGACGCUUUACAGUAUAAUAUGUCCUUUUCAUGUUGAUUAUUUUUAUAGGAUUUAAUAUGUGAUUAUUCUUCAGUUUUCUGAAUUAAAAUUGUUCAGGUGGCCAUAAAAUCUGGAAACAUAGACAAAUAUACAUAAUAAAUAGUUUACUCAUAUUCCAACAAAUGUUCAAUGAAUGUGCUGUUCCUCAUUAGCAUUUCAUACUUUAACAAGUUAUGCAAAACUGCAUGUGCACCAAAGCACUAUUUCCAUCAAUCCUCGUACAUCCACCUACAACGAAUCGCUUGUGGGGAUUUGUGUGUCUCACUUUCCCUGAAUAAACGUGUGCCUUUAGCACACCCAAGGUGUAAUUAAGGAAGAAGUGUCUGUCAUCUGUGUUUCUGGAUUGUGUGGUCCUGUUUUUGGUUUUGUUUUUUUUUUUAAGUUUCACCUACUAUAAGUCUUAAAAACAUUUUUGACCAUUCGUAUUAUACCAAGAAAAAAGAUGAAUACUAAAUACAAGCUAAUGGAAAAACAAAAAUUCAUUUGUUUUACCUUUCUAUUCCACAUCACAACAUUUUACUGAAAAUGAAGGGAUUUUUCAUCUAUAGAUAAAAGACUCUAAAUGGUACUUAGGUUGUUUUACAAGUUUGAUUUUAAAAUCGUUUAGAAUUCACAAUGGGUCUUACACACAAUGAUUUCAAUAAAUCAGGCACUCCAGAGCACAAUUGGAGGUGUAACAAUUAUGUGAUGACUUCUUAACAGUCCAAGGAGAUAAAGACCUUUUUUUCAAAUAUGGAAAGAAAUUAAUCUUUCUGCAGUAUUAACCCCUAAAAGCUAUCUUCCUUUAUAGACUACAAUAUUAUUGUCAAUUUAAUAUACUUUUAUUUUUUUUAAUCUUAUUUUUAAUGUUUGUUUUACUUUUGAGAGACACAUCCAGUGCGAACGGGGGAGGGACAGAGAGAGAGGGAGGCGCAGAAUCCUAAGCAGGCUCCAGGCUCUGAGCUGUCAGCACAGAGCCUGAUGCAGGGCUUGAACCCAUGAACCGUGAUAUCAUGACCUGAGCCGAAGUCAGAUGCUUAUCUGACUGAGCCACCCAGGCACCCCCAUAUACUUUUAAAAAGAACUCCCAGAGGAAGAAAUUUCUGGAGGUUUUCCCAAAUAUAUACAGCUACUUUUUCUGUCAUGCUUACAACAUCUGCAAAGUACGGAAUGUUCAAAUGCAGAUUCUUAUGAUCAAGGGGCUCCAUAAUUGCCUCCUCCAUAUACUCUUUGAGGUCAGUCACUUUCAUAACUAUUCCUGUAAUAGGAUCAAUCUCUCCAUGUACUGUCACCACAACUUUAUAAUUGUGCACGUGGCCAUUUGGAUUGUUGGCAUUCCCAAACAAUUUCAAGUUUUCUUCAUUACUCAGAGAUGUGCUGUGGAGCCAGUAGGUCGCUCUGAGGGAGAUGAGGUGGGACAGUUGCGUGGUGUUCUUGGCUUGCCUUCCCACUUGGUUGGUGGUGGGGCUGGGACAGGCUCUCUGUUUCUAUUUUGAUUUCAAUUUGGUAUUGUAAAAUGUAUUGUUCUUUUUUGGAACUAUUACCUUUAUCUUGUACUUCAUUAAAAUUUCAUGAACAUUUGUAUUUUGCUGACUUGGUUAUUUGUUAAGAUGUGAUUUUUACCAUUUAAAAAUUAUACUAAAGCAGAAGAAUAUUCUUUUUAAGUUUUUUAAUUCGUUUACUGGACAAAAAGUUGACUUAUGUCAAUAAAAACAAAAGUACUUAUGGGCGCUUGGGUGGCUUAGUCGCUUAAGCAUCUGACUUUAGCCCACAUCAUGGUCUUGUGGUCCAUGAGUUCGAGCCCUGUGUUGGGUUCUGUGCUGACAGCUAAGAGCCUGGAGUCUGCUUCAGAUUCUGUGUCUCCCUCUCUCUCUGCCCCUCCCUGGCUUGUGCUCUCUCUUUCUCAAAAAUAAAUAAACAUUAAAAAAUACAUAUAUACUUAAAGUUGAAAUUGGAGAAUUCAAGAAUAUUGCAUUUAUCAGUUCAGGUCUACUUAGAAAUUCAAGAAACUUCUUUGUAAUUGGAACUGUUAGCAUAAAGUCAACUAUUUGUGGCAGGCAUCAUUUGGUCUCAGUGCUUAAGAAAGUCUAAAAAAAUAUUUUUAAGUUAUUCUUGAGAGAGAGAGCGAGAGGUGGGGAGGGGCAGAGAGAGAGAGAGGGAGAGAGUGAGCAUCCCAAGCAGGCUCUGCACUGUCAGCACAGAGCCCAGAUGCAGGCCUAGAACUCAUGAACUGUGAGAUCGUGACCUGAGCCAAAACCAAGAGUCAGUUGCUUAACUGACUGAGCCACUCAGGUGCCCCUAAAUGCUAAAGAAAGUCUAGAGGUUGGAGCCACCUGCUCCAUUUGCAAGCGGCCAAGCCCUCCAGCCUGGCCUGAGGCCAUUAAUCUUCAAAGAAAGUCCUUCUGUUCAAAACCACUCAGAGUUCAUUUUGUAUUUUGCCAAAUUCUCCUCCCUGAAUUCUCCACUUGUUUGUCCUACAGAAUAAUUUUUUUACCCCACAGAAUAAAUAGCAUCUCUUCCAAACUGCAGAAUACUCGAAGACAUCUCUCAUAUCCCCUUUGUCAUUGUUAAACAUACUUAAUUCCUAAAACUGUUCAUGAAAUUGCUAAGACUUCAUUUUAUCAGUAGCCGUCUAAAAUGCAGUCAUAGAACAGAAAGACAUGCCUUAUAAGUUGGUUUUCAUAUAAAGAAGAUGGCCCCUCAGGCUGGGCUGUGAUUUCAUUAAUACCAAUUUUCUUGAGUAAAUGUGUUCAUAGGGUGGAACAUUUAAGCCAAAACUUGGAGAGUUGGAGAGAUUAGCCAGGGAAUGGCCAGGGACAAGUGUUCAGACAGGGAACAGCACCCUGGAGUAUGACAGAGGAGAGGGGAUGUGGCUACAGCCCAGCGCAGGUGUGGAGAGUGGUGAAGCAGGAGCAUCUCUAGGCCUGGAGUCUUCACAUUCACAGUGAAGGGUUGGUCCCGCUGGUACCCAGUGUCAGGGUGAGCAGUAGAGCCUCUUGUAGAAGAUGGAUCUCCCAAUACACUGUCCCAGGCCUUUUCCAGUGAACCACAAAACCUUGCAGACGUGUGGUGCUAUAGUGUGAAGAGGGUCAUGAUGGAUCCAGUAAAAGUGCUUCAUUGUAAACUACCACUUUCACAAAAUAGAUGGGUUUCCCAUUGUCCACUAAAAACCAUAAAUUAAGAAAUGAACGUGACAUUGUGUCCUUUUCAUUUCCUGCUGAGUCUGUGAGUGUCCUGCUUGGAGACAAGCUUCAUCUAGAAGAGCUUUUCUCGGAGUGCCAACUCCUUGCCACUUGGGCCUGCCCUGGGUCCUUAGUCCGCCUCUACCCUUCAGGGUUAAGUAGAGGACCCCAGGUGAGCUGUCUAGGUGAAGGAGCAGCUGGAUACAUAAAAAGGUUAAUGACUUGGGAAAUUUUGAUGAUUUGUUAUUCUUCUAAGACACUUAAGUGCUCUCCAUCUCUCCAUCUCUGUCUCAGCAGUGGCCCGCGACAUGGCAGGCAGGCACCUGCGGUUUUCACUUCACUAUUGAUGGGAAUAAGAGGUCUUCAGCUAAAGUUUCAGAUUCAGUAAGUUUACAACUUUUUGUUCCCUUAUAAAUGAUAUGCUUGUCUUAGAGGAAUAAUGAUCUAUGCCAGUCUUCAAUAUAUUGGAGUAAUACACAGGUCUUAUUUAAAGGAAAACAUUCUGGUUCCAAUAAUGCUCUAUUUUUAGUGUAUAGCACUUAACUGUAGUACAAAUGUAAGCAUAGUUACUAACAUUUUUUGCUUAUGGUUCUUAAGUAUCUAUAAACCAGAUUAAAAUUUAAAGCAGCAAAAUAAUAAAAUACCAGUGACCACUGAACAUUAUUCAUUGUGACAGAUGACAUAGGACCCUGAAGCCACUUGUGUGUAGGCUCUUGGUGUUUACUGGGUCUGUUCUGUCCUCUGCUGAAGGCACUAAAAUUUGUUUACAAAUUCUUUUCUCACAAGCUCACAAUAGUUACUGAAUACUAGUUGGCACCUUCUCAGUCCAACACAAACAUGGUCCUGAAACCGGGGGGUGGUCCUCAGUGCUGAGGCAGUUGCCCAGAUGAAUCGGAAUGUGCCUACCUAAUUAAAACAACAUACUGGGGCACCUGGGCGGCUCAGUCGGUUAAGCAUCCGACUUCAGCUCAGUUCAUGAUCUCGCGGUUUGGGAGUUGGAGCCCCGCAUCAGGCUCUGUGCUGACAGCUUUCGAUUCUGUGUCUCCCUCUCUCUCUCUGUCCCUCCCCUGCUUGCACUCUGUCUCUCUCUCCUUCAAGAAAUAAAUAAACAUUAAAAAAAAAAAAUUUACCUUUUCUUGAGAAACUUGCUGACCGCAGGUGGAGAAUCAUGAUCUAUAUACUGCAUUAUGAGCUUAGAUUCACACAAGCAUGUGUAUGAAUAUAUGGCUGUCAACGGAAAAAGAUGAACAGAAAGGAUAAUGGAGUAGGAAAGCCGUAUUUAGAACUAAUAUUUUGAUUUGUGUCGUUGCUUUCCUUUGCUUCCACGGUUCCCUGCUUUGAGGCUGUACCUCUUGUUUUCAACAUUUCACUUCAUGGUGGGUGUCCCAGGUGCUAGGAUGCGUGCUCCCUCUUCGUCGGGUCUGUGUUUCGGUCCUGUCGGUGUGGGGUGUGCCAGCCACACACUCUGGGUCCUGGCACAGGGUGGAGGCCCCUCUGCUGUGGUUGCUCUUUCAUCGCUUCUUCCAUUUUGUCUGAGCUCUUGCACUGCACCCACCGUCCCAAUGUGUGGCAUAGGUAAAUGGGUGGUUGACAGGUGAAUUGUUCCUUUCCAGAUUUCUACGCAAUACCCGGUAGUGGACCAUGAAUUUGACGCGGUGGUGGUAGGCGCUGGAGGGGCAGGCUUGCGAGCUGCGUUUGGCCUUUCCGAGGCAGGGUUUAACACGGCCUGCGUCACAAAGCUCUUUCCUACGAGAUCACACACCGUUGCAGCCCAGGUAAGAGAAAGGGGCCCCCUUAAUGGUUUUGGCGCCUGCACAGCAGUGCUCAGUCUUCUGCCACAGGCCUUCUCACUGCACGCCAGCCAUGUUCCUGUCUCUCUGCUCCUUGCACCCACCUGGCUUACUCGCCUUGGGAGUGUGUUCCCACACUGCCUCCACCCCCACUGCCGGAGUCACUCCUAGGGCCUCUUAUCGCUCUGCUGCUCCAGUGACACUCAGGUCUUCUCUGAGCACCCACCUAAUCCUCUGGCCCCCAUCAUAGUUUGUCUUCACUGUACUUUCCCAAUCUAAAAUGAGCCUGUCUCUGGACUGAUUCUCUUGGCCCUGCUGCAUCCUUGGCAUGGGCCUCGUUAAGUAUGAUGAUGAUGAGCUUUGCUGGUGGCAUGAAUGUGCAGGACAGAAGAACAUUGGCCUUUAAAUGCUCAAAAUUUAGGGAAGAGGAUAAAAGUAAGAUGAAAAAGUACACAGUGAUUUUAUAAUUUUGUUUUCUUUCCUGGCACACCGUAGGUGGUACGCAGGUUGUAUAUAGUAUUCCAAAACUGGAAUGAAUUGAACUGUUUUUUCCAGUAUUUGGAACAUAUUUCCUCAUAGAGAUAGCAGAGUGUGGGGUAACUUUCCAGGAACCAGUAAAAGCCACCCUAAUUACUGUUGUAGCCUGUAUUCAGCAUGCAGCAACAUUCUUCAGGCACUUUGCUACACAGAUACUUUGUUCUAAAACUAUGUGUUAUAAACUGAAAAAUAAAUAAUACAUACUUUUGAAGAUUACAUUGUGUCUAAAAGGAAAAAUGGAUGUAAACAUAAGUCUAAAUAAUGAGAAAUAAUAGUAUAUUCAGGUAGUGCAAUAUUAAAACAAUAAAAAGUUAGAAAUGGAUAGCUUACCUUGAAUGCUGGUUGGAGAAAGUAAGGUUUAAUUGGGGGGAUAAGACAGGUGGGGACUGGGCAAGUCUAAAGUGUACUCCUGGGGGGGGCGGGGCACAUGGCUGGCUCAGUCAGUAAAGCGUGCAACUCUUGAUCUCAGAGUCGUGAAUUAGAGCCCUGGGUUGGGUAUAAAGAUUGCUUUUUAUUUUUCUUUGAGUAGGCUCUGUGCCCAGCAUGAGGCCCAGCAUGGGGCUUGAACUCUCGACCCUGAGAUCAAGACCUGAGCUGAGAUCAAGUUGGACACUCAACCGACUGAGCCACUGAGGCGCCCUGAGAUUACUUUAGAAAAACAAAAUUGUAUUUCUUGGGACUCCUGGAAGACCAGCUGUCUGUGGCCCUGAUUCUUACUAGUAGUAGCAAUAAAAUAAUAGCAUGGACAUGUGCACUGGGCCAAGUAUUUAGUGUUAUUUUAAACUAGGUUUCUCUCUUCUGCUACUACUCUGGUACUUAACAGUUUUUACUAGGACUGUGUUUGGGUUUACAAUCGGUGGGGUCGGAGAAGGAGGAGGAAAUAACUUGUGACUUUUGCUGCUUGUCUUGUUAGGGUUCCUGGCUUUGUGCUGGUGACUCUUUUCUUGAUAACUGAAACAUAAUGGGAAACUGAGGCACAGCAGCACCAAGCGGGGAAAGAAUUCCUGCAUGGGUCUGCUUGACUCAGAAGCUUGAUUGAGGAACAUUUGCAAAAAAGAGGGAAGUCAGAAAAUGUGCCUUUUCUUCUCAAAAAGAGAUGAGUAAUCCGGUUUUAAGUUGCGGAGGAAAAGUGUGAGUGUUACAUUUGUCCCUGUACUGCCAUUUUCUGUGACUCUGAGAGACAGACACGGUAGAGAGAAUGUGACUCUGAGUUUAGAGUUUAUUCCUUGACCGUAAGUACUUCUUUAACACAUGUCCAUAAAUGCCACUGGGAACAUUUUGUCAUAAAAUUAUCCCAGAUGGAUUUGCUCAAUACCUUUUAUGUGCCAGGUUUGGAGGUGACGAGCAUUGCUCAUAAAACCGCACUUAACCCUCCAGAUGGCUCUCGAGUUCAGCUUCAUGUCCCUUCAUGGGUAAGGGCACUGAGGCUGAGGGAGGUAAGAUUUGGCGUCUGUCGUGCCUCUCCCUGCUCAGGACGGUCCUGUAACCAACCAGACUGCAGUCAGGUCCCUCACAUGCCGUUGUUGUCAAAAUUAGUUGGUUUUCUCUGAAUCCAGUUUUGGGCAGUGGGUGGAAGGGGGAUGGGCCUGGAAGGUCCAGGGUUCCCUUUCGUAGCUUGUAAGUCUGCCCUGUGUUUACAGGGAGGGAUCAAUGCUGCUCUGGGGAACAUGGAGGAGGACAACUGGAGGUGGCACUUCUACGACACUGUGAAAGGCUCCGACUGGCUGGGGGACCAGGAUGCCAUCCACUACAUGACAGAGCAGGCCCCUGCUUCCGUGGUAGAGGUACUGUCCUUGCAUGGUCUGUUUCUGGUAGAAAAGAGAGGUCGAGGCAAAUGUGGUCAGCCCAAGGAAUGGUAACCAGUUGAUGUAACAAGGGAAAUCUUUCCUAUCAUUAACCAUUCAGUUCAUUUAAUAACAAAGUUUUUCUCUUUUCCUGAAGUGUUGAAAUUUUCAUAGAACGUAUUGGUUUGGGUUUACAGGUUUAUGUUGAAAUUGUUUAGUGUAAAUUAGCGAUGAAUAUCCCGAUUCCUUCAAGGUCCUGGGUGUUUGUUUUCACAUUUCACAGCUGGAGAAUUAUGGCAUGCCAUUCAGCAGAACUGAAGAUGGGAGGAUCUACCAGCGCGCUUUUGGUGGACAGAGCCUCAAGUUUGGGAAAGGCGGGCAGGCCCAUCGGUGCUGCUGUGUGGCUGACCGCACUGGCCACUCGCUGCUGCACACGUUGUAUGGAAGGGUGAGGCCACCCUGGGUGCAUGGGGUGACAGGACA
rnacentral:lncRNA from 1 species